GUGCCAGCAGCCGCGGUAAUACGUAGGGGGCAAGCGUUGUCCGGAUUUACUGGGCGUAAAGCGCGUGUAGGCGGAAUGCCAAGUCUGGCCUGAAAGCCCCCGGCUCAACCGGGGAUCCGGGCUGGAAACUGGUUUUCUUGAGGACGGCAGGGGAGUGUGGAAUUCCUGGUGUAGCGGUGAAAUGCGUAGAGAUCAGGAGGAACACCCAUGGCGAAGGCAGCACUCUGGACCGGACCUGACGCUGAGACGCGAAAGCGUGGGGAGCGAACGGGAUUAGAUACCCCCGUAGUCC
rnacentral:rRNA from 1 species